ACACCGACAGACAGACAGACAGACACAGAUAUGAAUAGACAUGCAGACACCCAUGCCCAUAAACAGGCAUGCGUGCUUGUUCCUUUCCUCCCUUCUUUCUUUCUUUCUUUCUUUCGUCCGUCUUUUUUGUCUUCCUUUG
rnacentral:ribozyme from 11 species